CAUGCCUGUAAUCCCAGCAAUUUGGAAGGCCGAGGUAGGAGGAUCACUUGAGACCAGGAGUUUAAAGCUGUGGUAAGCUAUGAUCGCACCAAUACACUCCACCCUGGGUGACAGGAGAGACCCUUUAUCAA